CACGUAGGGUGCGAGCGUUGUCCGGAAUUAUUGGGCGUAAAGAGCUCGUAGGUGGUUUGUUACGUCUGCUGUGAAAACCUAGGGCUUAACCCUGGGCCUGCAGUGGAUACGGGCAGACUAGAGGUAGGUAGGGGAGAAUGGAAUUCCCGGUGUAGCGGUGAAAUGCGCAGAUAUCGGGAGGAACACCGGUGGCGAAGGCGGUUCUCUGGGCCUUACCUGACACUGAGGAGCGAAAGCGUGGGGAGCGAACAGG
rnacentral:rRNA from 1 species